rnacentral:ncRNA from 1 species
GCCCCUGUGAGAAUGCCCCACAGUUCCCUGUUUGGGAACAAGGAGCUGGUAUCAGGCACAACACCCCACAGCCCAUGACACCUUGCUUAGCCACACCCUCAAGGGAACUCAGCAGUGAUAAACAUUAAGCCAUAAGUGAAAACUUGACUUAGUUAAAGCUAAGAGAGUCGGUAAAACUCGUGCCAGCCACCGCGGUUAUACGAGAGACCCGAGUUGAUAGUCACCGGCGUAAAGAGUGGUUAAGACUACACUUAGCACUAAAGCCGAACGCCCUCAGAGCUGUUAUACGCAUCCGAAGGUAAGAAGCCCAACCACGAAAGUGGCUUUAUAACAUCUGAAUCCACGAAAGCUAUGACACAAACUGGGAUUAGAUACCCCACUAUGCCUAGCCAUAAACAUUGAUAGUAACCUACACCCACUAUCCGCCCGGGAACUACGAGCAUCAGCUUAAAACCCAAAGGACUUGGCGGUGCUUUAGAUCCACCUAGAGGAGCCUGUUCUAGAACCGAUUACCCCCGUUCAACCUCACCUUUCCUUGUCCCUCCCGCCUAUAUACCACCGUCGUCAGCUUACCCUGUGAAGGACUCAUAGUAAGCAAGAUUGGCAUAGCCCAAAACGUCAGGUCGAGGUGUAGCGUAUGGAAAGGGAAGAAAUGGGCUACAUUCCCUAACACAGGGAACUACGAAUGAUACGCUGAAAUACGUAUCUGAAGGAGGAUUUAGCAGUAAGCAGAAAAAAGAGCGUUCCGCUGAAACCGGCCCUGAAGCGCGCACACACCGCCCGUCACUCUCCCCGAGCUCAUCAACCUUAAAUACCUAAAACCUAAAUACUGCAAAGGGGAGGCAAGUCGUAACAUGGUAAGUGUACCGGAAGGUGCACUUGGAAAAAU